rnacentral:rRNA from 1 species
GGUUAAGUGACUAAGCGUACAUGGUGGAUGCCUUGGCAGUCAGAGGCGAUGAAGGACGUACUAACCUGCGAUAAGCCGUGAGCAGUCGGUAAGAGACAUUACGACUCACGGAUUUCCGAAUGGGGAAACCCACUUAGCAUAAGCUAGGUAUCGCUGCGUGAAUACAUAGCGUAGCGAGGCGAACCGGGAGAACUGAAACAUCUAAGUACCCCGAGGAAAAGAAAUCAACCGAGAUUCCCUCAGUAGCGGCGAGCGAACGGGGAUUAGCCCUUAAGCAUCUUGGAAGUUAGUGGAACGGUCCUGGAAAGGCCGGCGAUACAGGGUGAUAGCCCCGUACACGAAAACAACCUUGAUGUGAAAUCGAGUAGGGCGGGACACGUGACAUCCUGUCUGAAUAUGGGGGGACCAUCCUCCAAGGCUAAAUACUCCUGACUGACCGAUAGUGAACCAGUACCGUGAGGGAAAGGCGAAAAGAACCCCUGUGAGGGGAGUGAAAUAGAACCUGAAACCGUGUACGUACAAGCAGUGGGAGCCCUUCGGGGUGACUGCGUACCUUUUGUAUAAUGGGUCAGCGACUUACAUUUUGUAGCGAGGUUAACCGUAUAGGGGAGCCGUAGGGAAACCGAGUCUUAACUGGGCGUCUAGUUGCAAGGUGUAGACCCGAAACCGGGUGAUCUAGCCAUGGGCAGGUUGAAGGUUGAGUAACAUCAACUGGAGGACCGAACCCACUAACGUUGCAAAGUUAGGGGAUGACCUGUGGCUGGGGGUGAAAGGCCAAUCAAACUCGGAGAUAGCUGGUUCUCCCCGAAAGCUAUUUAGGUAGCGCCUCGGACGAAUACUACUGGGGGUAGAGCACUGUUUGGGCUAGGGGGUCAUCCCGACUUACCAACCCCAUGCAAACUCCGAAUACCAGUAAGUAAUAUCCGGGAGACACACGGCGGGUGCUAACGUCCGUCGUGAAGAGGGAAACAACCCAGACCGCCGGCUAAGGUCCCAAAGUUCUGGUUAAGUGGGAAACGAUGUGGGAAGGCUCAGACAGCUAGGAUGUUGGCUUAGAAGCAGCCAUCAUUUAAAGAAAGCGUAAUAGCUCACUAGUCGAGUCGGCCUGCGCGGAAGAUGUAACGGGGCUCAAACCAGGCACCGAAGCCGCGGAUUCACGCUAAGCGUGAGUGGUAGGGGAGCGUUCUGUAAGUCUGCGAAGGUGUGUCGAGAGGCAUGCUGGAGAUAUCAGAAGUGCGAAUGCUGACGUAAGUAACGAUAAAGGGGGUGAAAAGCCUCCUCGCCGGAAGACCAAGGGUUCCUGUCCAACGUUAAUCGGGGCAGGGUGAGUCGACCCCUAAGGCGAGGCCGAAAGGCGUAGUCGAUGGGAAGCAGGUUAAUAUUCCUGCACGACUUGUAAUUGCGAUGGGGGGACGGAGAAGGCUAGGUGGGCCAGGCGACGGUUGUCCUGGUGAAAGUGCGUAGGUGGUGUUUCUAGGCAAAUCCGGAGACACAACACUGAGACACGAGACGAACACACUACGGUGUGGAAGCCAUUGAUGCCCUGCUUCCAGGAAAAGCCUCUAAGCUUCAGAUUACAAGUCAUCGUACCCCAAACCGACACAGGUGGUCGGGUAGAGAAUACCAAGGCGCUUGAGAGAACUCGGGUGAAGGAACUAGGCAAAAUAGAACCGUAACUUCGGGAGAAGGUUCGCUCUUGACAGUGAAGUCCCUUGCGGAUGGAGCAGUUGGGAGUCGCAGUGACCAGAUGGCUGGGACUGUUUAUCAAAAACACAGCACUCUGCAAACACGAAAGUGGACGUAUAGGGUGUGACACCUGCCCGGUGCCGGAAGGUUAAUUGAUGGGGUUAGCGCAAGCGAAGCUCUUGAUCGAAGCCCCGGUAAACGGCGGCCGUAACUAUAACGGUCCUAAGGUAGCGAAAUUCCUUGUCGGGUAAGUUCCGACCUGCACGAAUGGUGUAACCAUGGCCAUGCUGUCUCCACCCGAGACUCAGUGAAAUCGAAUUCGCCGUGAAGAUGCGGUGUACCCGCGGCUAGACGGAAAGACCCCGUGAACCUUUACUACAGCUUGGCACUGAACAUUGAACCUACAUGUGUAGGAUAGGUGGGAGGCUUUGAAGGCGUGACGCCAGUUGCGCUGGAGCCGUCCUUGAAAUACCACCCUUGUAUGUUUGAUGUUCUAACGCAGGCCCAUGAAUCUGGGUCGCGGACAGUGCCUGGUGGGUAGUUUGACUGGGGCGGUCUCCUCCCAAAGAGUAACGGAGGAGCACGAAGGUUGGCUAAUCCUGGUCGGACAUCAGGAGGUUAGUGCAAUGGCAUAAGCCAGCUUAACUGCGAGACGGACAGGUCGAGCAGGUACGAAAGUAGGUCAUAGUGAUCCGGUGGUUCUGAAUGGAAGGGCCAUCGCUCAACGGAUAAAAGGUACUCCGGGGAUAACAGGCUGAUACCGCCCAAGAGUUCAUAUCGACGGCGGUGUUUGGCACCUCGAUGUCGGCUCAUCACAUCCUGGGGCUGAAGUCGGUCCCAAGGGUAUGGCUGUUCGCCAUUUAAAGUGGUACGCGAGCUGGGUUCAGAACGUCGUGAGACAGUUCGGUCCCUAUCUGCCGUGGGCGUUGGAUGAUUGAAGGGAGUUGCUCCUAGUACGAGAGGACCGGAGUGAACGAACCUCUGGUGUUCGGGUUGUCACGCCAGUGGCACUGCCCGGUAGCUAAGUUCGGAAUCGAUAACCGCUGAAAGCAUCUAAGCGGGAAGCGAGCCCU